GAGCGGGCCUGGCGGAGCCCGAGCGCGGCCCGGCCCGCAGCGCGGGGCUCGGAGCGCGGUGAAGAGAUUGUUUUCUGAAGGCUGCGUUGGAGGCUGUGACAGAGCACAGAGCCCUGUGGAGCUGAUGGGGAGGCUUUCUCAAUAACAUGGCCCUUCGCCAUUAGCCUUGCCAUGACCACAUUUUUCACCAGCGUCCCCCCCUGGAUUCAAGAUGCAAAGCAGGAGGAGGAAGUGGGCUGGAAACUAGUGCCCAGGCCUCGGGGCCGGGAGGCGGAGAGUCAAGUGAAGUGCCAAUGUGAAAUCUCGGGGACACCCUUCUCAAAUGGGGAGAAGCUGAGGCCUCACAGCCUCCCCCAUCCAGAGCAGAGACCGUAUAGCUGCCCUCAGCUGCACUGUGGCAAGGCUUUUGCCUCCAAGUACAAGCUGUAUAGGCACAUGGCCACCCACUCAGCCCAGAAACCCCACCAGUGCAUGUACUGCGAUAAGAUGUUUCACCGCAAGGAUCAUCUGCGGAACCACCUGCAGACCCAUGACCCCAACAAGGAGGCCCUCCACUGUUCUGAGUGUGGUAAGAAUUACAAUACGAAGCUGGGCUACCGGCGCCACCUGGCCAUGCAUGCUGCCAGCAGUGGUGACCUCAGCUGCAAGGUGUGCCUGCAGACCUUCGAGAGUACCCAGGCCCUGCUGGAGCACCUGAAGGCCCACUCACGCCGGGUAGCAGGUGGUGCCAAGGAAAAGAAGCACCCCUGUGACCACUGUGACCGGCGGUUCUAUACUCGUAAGGAUGUGCGGCGGCACCUGGUGGUCCACACAGGCCGGAAGGACUUCCUGUGCCAGUACUGUGCCCAGCGAUUCGGCCGCAAAGACCACCUGACACGUCAUGUCAAGAAGAGCCACUCACAAGAGCUGCUCAAGAUCAAGACAGAGCCAGUGGAUGUGUUAGGCCUAAUCAGCUGCAGCUCCACAGUCAAUGUGAAGGAAGAGCUGAGUCCUGUGCUGUGCAUGGCCUCUCGGGACGUGAUGGGGGCCAAGGCCUUCCCUGGCAUGUUGCCCAUGGGCAUGUAUGGUGCCCACAUCCCUACCAUGCCCAGUGCGGGCAUGCCACACUCCCUGGUGCACAACACGCUGCCCAUGGGCAUGAGCUACCCUCUGGAAUCCUCACCUAUCUCUUCCCCAGCUCAGCUUCCUCCAAAAUACCAGCUUGGAUCUACCUCAUACUUGCCCGACAAAUUGCCCAAAGUGGAGGUGGAUAGUUUUCUGGGGGAGGUUCCUGGAAGCCUGUCUCUCUCAUCCGCUGAACCCCAGCCCACCUCACCUCAGCCGGCAGCAGCUGCGGCCCUCCUAGAUGAAGCACUGCUCACCAAGAGCCCCGCCAACCUCUCUGAGGCUCUCUGCGCUGCUAAUGUGGACUUCUCCCACUUACUGGGCUUUCUUCCUCUCAACCUGCCCCCAUGUAACCCACCUGGGGCCACAGGAGGCCUGGUCAUGGGCUACUCCCAGGCUGAGGCUCAGCCCCUGCUCACCACUUUGCAAGCUCAGCCUCAAGAUUCCCCAGGAGCUGGGGGACCGCUGAACUUUGGGCCACUGCACUCUUUGCCACCUGUCUUCACCUCUGGCCUGAGCACCACAACCCUGCCUCGUUUCCACCAGGCAUUCCAGUAGCCACAAGGAGGCCCUCAGCUCAGUCCUGGCUCUGUCAGGGAGCCUCAGUACCUAUCCCAUCUGCAUCCCCCAUGAAGGCAGCUGAGCUUUCAGAGCUGGGUUCAAAAAAACAAUUCCAGUAUCUGUAUGGAGCACUUGGUUUGGGGGCUUAAGCUCCAGGAUUAGUUCCAGGAGGAAUCUUGAGCCCCAGCCCCAUGAAAAGAUAUCAUACAAUAGGACUUCAGGUAUUUUUACUUUUUUUUUUUUUUUAAUCUGAAUCGGGAGCCACACCUAGCCUUCUCCCUCUCCAAAGCAUCGGAACCUCCUCCUCUUUGAAGAAGGGAGAGGUCUCUUGAAGACACAGAGGGUUUUACUUCGGAUGACCUCGAGAGAAGUAGUCCAAGAAGCCCGUCUUCUGGUCCCAGCCUGCAGACCCCACAGCAGUUGGUCAGGCACUCCUGCAGAGGGUCCAUCGCCUGCUUCCAAUCAAUAGGCAGGAGGGAAGGCCUCUGCCUGUUGUUCCCCAUUACCUCCAUCCCUCCUGUCCUAACACCUCCAUUUUCAGUCAGUGUUUUCCAGGAACGGUACCGUUUACACAGUCGCUUCAGACACACCAUUUCACCUCCCUUGCUGAGCUGUUAGCCUUAGAAUGAUUGCAGUGAACAUUGUUUACACACCGUGAAUCCAUUCCCACCAGUCCAUUCCAGUUGGCACCAGCCAGAACCACUUGGUACCUGGUGUUAACUGGAGCCCUGUUUACAAGGCGGAGUCGGGUCCCGACUUCUCUUCAUUUGAGGUCACAUUUUUCCCCUGUGGGGAAAUAAACUGACUUUGGACUGCUUCAGUCUCUGCCACCUUCCAUGACUGUGUCUGUUCUUGCCUUCCUUGGGAGAGUCCACAGGAGACAGGCAAGAAGAUUGGAGCAGCUUUCUCACAGGCAGGUGUUGGCCAGAAAAGUCCAGAUUCCUCUGGGACCCCACCCUGGCCUCUCCUGGAGCUCUGAACCUGCUGUGGAAGGAACUGGCUGUGACCUCACCACUGGAAAGCAGGGUCUGUGGCAAGGGAAACGGGUGUACUGGUUCUGACAGGAGGAGGAUCCACCAUGGUAAUCAAGUGCCUCUGUGGAGGGGUUUAAUUUCUUCAGAUGUUCGCCUACUUCCUUAGUGGGUUCUCCCCAUAUUGCACCUCUCCAACUCUCACCAUUUGGCACUGGAACUCCUGAAACACCACUUCUCAUACACCCCCCUCCCUCUCUCCCAGUGGUCAAGGCUUUGGAGCCACUCUUUCGUAAUACCAGAUUAUUUAAAGAGAGAAAAAUACAAGACAAAACCUUUUAGCACUUUGUAAACACAGUGAAUAACCUCUUGGAGUAUUUUUGGCUUUAUAUAAAACAAGGUUUUUAAUUGUAAAAUAUAAGUGCCAUUAGAAAAUGCA